GGUUUCGAAGCUCAGUUGUUAGAGCACAUACCACGUUACGGCAUGCUAUUUCUGUCGCUGGUUCAAGUCCAGCCGAAGCCU
rnacentral:tRNA from 1 species